UACGGGGGGGGCAAGCGUUGUUCGGAAUUACUGGGCGUAAAGGGCUCGUAGGCGGCCAACUAAGUCAGACGUGAAAUCCCUCGGCUUAACCGGGGAACUGCAUCUGAUACUGGAUGGCUUGAGUCCGGGAGAGGAGAGUGGAAUUCCAGGUGUAGCGGUGAAAUGCGUAGAUAUCUGGAGGAACACCGGUGGCGAAGGCGGCAUCCUGGACCGACACUGACGCUGAGGAGCGAAAGCCAGGGGAGCAAACGGG
rnacentral:rRNA from 1 species